UAGAAGAUGGUGUAGUAGGGAGCACCAAGAGUUUUGAUCUCUUAAGUGUGGGUUCGAGUCCCAUUUUUCUAA
rnacentral:tRNA from 1 species